rnacentral:rRNA from 1 species
UACGUAGGGGGCAAGCGUUGUCCGGAAUUAUUGGGCGUAAAGAGCUCGUAGGCGGUCUGUUACGUCUGCUGUGAAAACCCAGGGCUUAACCCUGGGCUUGCAGUGGAUACGGGCAGACUAGAGGCAGGUAGGGGAGAAUGGAAUUCCCGGUGUAGCGGUGAAAUGCGCAGAUAUCGGGAGGAACACCGGUGGCGAAGGCGGUUCUCUGGGCCUGACCUGACGCUGAGGAGCGAAAGCGUGGGGAGCGAACAGG